rnacentral:rRNA from 1 species
CUACGGGAGGCAGCAGUGGGGAAUUUUCCGCAAUGGGCGAAAGCCUGACGGAGCAAUACCGCGUGAGGGAAGACUGCCUAUGGGUUGUAAACCUCUUUUUUCAGGGAGGAAUCAAUGACGUGUACCUGAAGAAUAAGCAUCGGCUAACUCCGUGCCAGCAGCCGCGGUAAGACGGAGGAUGCAAGUGUUAUCCGGAAUCACUGGGCGUAAAGCGUCUGUAGGUGGUUUAAUAAGUCAACUGUUAAAUCUUGAGGCUCAACUUCAAAAUCGCAGUCGAAACUAUUAGACUAGAGUAUAGUAGAGGUAAAGGGAAUUUCCAGUGGAGCGGUGAAAUGCGUAGAUAUUGGAAAGAACACCGAUGGCGAAGGCACUUUACUGGGCUAUUACUGACACUCAGAGACGAAAGCUAGGGUAGCAAAUGGGAUUAGAUACCCCAGUAGUCCUAGCCGUAAACAAUGGAUACUAGAUGUUGAACAGAUCGACCUGUGCAGUAUCAAAGCUAACGCGUUAAGUAUCCCGCCUGGGAAGUAUGCUCGCAAGAGUGAAACUCAAAG